rnacentral:rRNA from 1 species
CGCUGGCGGCGUGCCUAACACAUGCAAGUCGAACGGGACUUAGAGAGCUUGCUCUUUAAGUUUAGUGGCGAACGGGUGAGUAACGCGUGAGAAACCUGCCUUUCAGUGGGGGACAACAGUUGGAAACGACUGCUAAUACCGCAUAAUGUAUCGAGGGGGCAUCCCUUUGAUACCAAAGCUUAAUGUGCUUAGGGAUGAGCUCGCGUCCCAUUAGCUAGUUGGUGAGGUAACGGCUCACCAAGGCGAUGAUGGGUAGCUGGUCUGAGAGGAUGGUCAGCCACACUGGGACUGAGACACUGCCCAGACUCCUACGGGAGGCUGCAGUCGAGAAUCUUGGGCAAUGGGGGAAACCCUGACCCAGCAACGCCGCGUGAAGGAAGAAGGCCUUCGGGUUGUAAACUUCUUUUAGUAGGGACGAAGAACGUGACGAUACCUACAGAAAAAGCAACGGCUAACUACGUG